rnacentral:rRNA from 1 species
AGAGUUUGAUCAUGGCUCAGAUUGAACGCUGGCGGCAGGCCUAACACAUGCAAGUCGAGCGGUAGCACAGAGAGCUUGCUCUCGGGUGACGAGCGGCGGACGGGUGAGUAAUGUCUGGGAAACUGCCUGAUGGAGGGGGAUAACUACUGGAAACGGUAGCUAAUACCGCAUAAUGUCGCAAGACCAAAGUGGGGGACCUUCGGGCCUCAUGCCAUCAGAUGUGCCCAGAUGGGAUUAGCUAGUAGGUGGGGUAACGGCUCACCUAGGCGACGAUCCCUAGCUGGUCUGAGAGGAUGACCAGCCACACUGGAACUGAGACACGGUCCAGACUCCUACGGGAGGCAGCAGUGGGGAAUAUUGCACAAUGGGCGCAAGCCUGAUGCAGCCAUGCCGCGUGUGUGAAGAAGGCCUUCGGGUUGUAAAGCACUUUCAGCGGGGAGGAAGGCGAUAAGGUUAAUAACCUCAUCGAUUGACGUUACCCGCAGAAGAAGCACCGGCUAACUCCGUGCCAGCAGCCGCGGUAAUACGGAGGGUGCAAGCGUUAAUCGGAAUUACUGGGCGUAAAGCGCACGCAGGCGGUCUGUCAAGUCGGAUGUGAAAUCCCCGGGCUCAACCUGGGAACUGCAUUCGAAACUGGCAGGCUAGAGUCUUGUAGAGGGGGGUAGAAUUCCAGGUGUAGCGGUGAAAUGCGUAGAGAUCUGGAGGAAUACCGGUGGCGAAGGCGGCCCCCUGGACAAAGACUGACGCUCAGGUGCGAAAGCGUGGGGAGCAAACAGGAUUAGAUACCCUGGUAGUCCACGCCGUAAACGAUGUCGAUUUGGAGGUUGUGCCCUUGAGGCGUGGCUUCCGGAGCUAACGCGUUAAAUCGACCGCCUGGGGAGUACGGCCGCAAGGUUAAAACUCAAAUGAAUUGACGGGGGCCCGCACAAGCGGUGGAGCAUGUGGUUUAAUUCGAUGCAACGCGAAGAACCUUACCUGGUCUUGACAUCCACAGAACUUUCCAGAGAUGGAUUGGUGCCUUCGGGAACUGUGAGACAGGUGCUGCAUGGCUGUCGUCAGCUCGUGUUGUGAAAUGUUGGGUUAAGUCCCGCAACGAGCGCAACCCUUAUCCUUUGUUGCCAGCGGUCCGGCCGGGAACUCAAAGGAGACUGCCAGUGAUAAACUGGAGGAAGGUGGGGAUGACGUCAAGUCAUCAUGGCCCUUACGACCAGGGCUACACACGUGCUACAAUGGCAUAUACAAAGAGAAGCGACCUCGCGAGAGCAAGCGGACCUCAUAAAGUAUGUCGUAGUCCGGAUUGGAGUCUGCAACUCGACUCCAUGAAGUCGGAAUCGCUAGUAAUCGUAGAUCAGAAUGCUACGGUGAAUACGUUCCCGGGCCUUGUACACACCGCCCGUCACACCAUGGGAGUGGGUUGCAAAAGAAGUAGGUAGCUUAACCUUCGGGAGGGCGCUUACCACUUUGUGAUUCAUGACUGGGGUGAAGUCGUAACAAGGUAACCGUAGGGGAACCUGCGGUUG